rnacentral:antisense_RNA from 1 species
UUCAAUGGUGGGCUGUGCGGGGGCACUUCGGUGCGCCGGUUUGGUAGAUCCCGGUAAGGCUAACCCCGUACAGUUCACCACCCAA